rnacentral:rRNA from 1 species
AGUGAACGCUGGCGGUAGGCCUAACACAUGCAAGUCGAACGGCAGCACAGAGGAGCUUGCUCCUUGGGUGGCGAGUGGCGGACGGGUGAGGAAUACAUCGGAAUCUACUCUGUCGUGGGGGAUAACGUAGGGAAACUUACGCUAAUACCGCAUACGACCUACGGGUGAAAGCAGGGGAUCUUCGGACCUUGCGCGAUUGAAUGAGCCGAUGUCGGAUUAGCUAGUUGGCGGGGUAAAGGCCCACCAAGGCGACGAUCCGUAGCUGGUCUGAGGGGAUGAACAGCCACACUGGAACAGAGACACGGUCCAGACUCCUACGGGAGGCAGCAGUGGGGAAUAUUGGACAAUGGGCGCAAGCCUGAUCCAGCCAUACCGCGUGGGUGAAGAAGGCCUUCGGGUUGUAAAGCCCUUUUGUUGGGAAAGAAAUCCAUCUGGUUAAUACCCGGGUGGGAUGACGGUACCCAAAGAAUAAGCACCGGCUAACUUCGUGCCAGCCGCCGCCGUAA